GCAGUCGAGCGGNNNGGNCNUUCGGGGUANACGAGCGGCGAACGGGUGAGUAACACGUGGGUGAUCUGCCCUGCACUUCGGGAUAAGCCUGGGAAACUGGGUCUAAUACCGGAUAUGACCUCCUNUCGCAUGGNGGGUGGUGGAAAGAUUUAUCGGUGCAGGAUGGGCCCGCGGCCUAUCAGCUUGUUGGUGGGGUAAUGGCCUACCAAGGCGACGACGGGUAGCCGACCUGAGAGGGUGACCGGCCACACUGGGACUGANACACGGCCCAGACUCCUACGGGAGGCAGCAGUGGGGAAUAUUGCACAAUGGGCGAAAGCCUGAUGCAGCGACGCCNCGUGAGGGAUGACGGCCUUCGGGUUGUAAACCUCUUUCAGCAGGGACGAAGCGCAAGUGACGGUACCUGCAGAAGAAGCACCGGCUAACUACGUGCCAGCAGCCGCGGUAAUACGUAGGGUGCAAGCGUUGUCCGGAAUUACUGGGCGUAAAGAGUUCGUAGGCGGUUUGUCGCGUCGUUUGUGAAAACCAGCAGCUCAACUGCUGGCUUGCAGGCGAUACGGGCAGACUUGAGUACUGCAGGGGAGACUGGAAUUCCUGGUGUAGCGGUGAAAUGCGCAGAUAUCAGGAGGAACACCGGUGGCGAAGGCGGGUCUCUGGGCAGUAACUGACGCUGAGGAACGAAAGCGUGGGUAGCGAACAGGAUUAGAUACCCUGGUAGUCCACGCCGUAAACGGUGGGCGCUAGGUGUGGGUUCCUUCCACGGAAUCCGUGCCGUANCUAACGCAUUAAGCGCCCCGCCUGGGGAGUACGGCCGCAAGGCUAAAACUCAAAGGAAUUGACGGGGGCCCGCACAAGCGGCGGAGCAUGUGGAUUAAUUCNAUGCAACGCGAANAACCUUACCUGGGUUUGACAUAUACCGGAAAGCUGCANANAUNUGGCCCCCCUUGUGGUCGGUAUACNNGUGGUGCAUGGCUGUCNUCNNCUCNUGUCNUGANANNUUGGGUUAANUCCCNCAACNANCGCAACCCCUAUNUUAUGUUGCCNNCACNUUNUGGUGGGGACUCNNAANANACUGCCGGGUCACUCGGANGAAGGNGGGGACNACUUCANUCNUCAUGCCCCUUAUNUC
rnacentral:rRNA from 1 species